UACGUAGGGGGCAAGCGUUGUCCGGAUUUAUUGGGCGUAAAGAGCGUGUAGGCGGCCUUACAGGUCAGCUGUGAAAACUCGAGGCUCAACCUCGAGACGUCGGUUGAAACCGUAUGGCUAGAGUCCGGAAGAGGAGAGUGGAAUUCCCGGUGUAGCGGUGAAAUGCGCAGAUAUCGGGAAGAACACCCGUGGCGAAGGCGGCUCUCUGGGACGGUACUGACACUGAGGCGCGAAAGCGUGGGGAGCGAACAGG
rnacentral:rRNA from 1 species